CUGAGCCAGAGGAAGGGAGGAAAACAAUAGCAAAAACCAGGACCCUUCGGACUUGCCGCUGAAUGGGGAUUUUCGUCGGAUGUUGAGUUUACCUGGAAUGCCCCGGUGUUAUUUUGGGAAGGCAGACAUCCCACGGAAACAAUGAAGUGGAAAAGAAAACAGCUAAAGCAAAAUCUAGAGCCCAGUUUUUGCCAAACCAGCCCCACGUGGGCUGGGCAGGCUCUGGAAGCCCAAGUCAGGCCGAUGAAGAGCGGCUGAGGCCGUGGGGAUCUGGUUUACCAGGAGGGCACAUGGAGGAUGCAAGAAAAGGAAGAGCCGUAUUCAAGUCCCCACUUCAGUGAUGAGGCAGAAAGACCCUGCGCCUGACCACGUGGGAACAGCCUGCAGUGAGCGGUGACGCCGCCUGGCUUGAGCUAAGUGCUGGGCUCCACCAUUCAUUGGCUGAGUGACCUUAGAUGAGAAGAGAAUGAGCCAUGUGUUUCCUGAAACAUCCAGUGGCCUCACCGGAGAAUCUGCAAGAGCCGGUAAACCCAGAAGCUUGGCCGUCCAUUCCUGGAAGCAGACAUUGUGUCUUCGUCCACCAAGCCCCUGGCUCUCAACACUCACUGUGGUGGCAAGAACAUGGCACCUUGACCCUACACAGUUCUUCCAUUUUUCAGAAGCAGGUGAGCACAGAUUGCUGGGAUGGAGUGAGUAAAAGAUAUAAACUGGACUGGGCACGGUUGCUCGCACCUGUAAUCCCAGCACUUUGGGAGGCCGAAGCGGGCGGAUCGCUUGAGCUCAGGAGUUCGAGAUUAGUCUAGGCAACAUAGUGAGAAGCUAUCUUAAAAAAAAUUUAAAUAAAAGUUAUAAACCAAGGCUUGGGGUUUCUGGGUGCUUUGCCAGGACCUGUUCUUGGGCAGAACUGAAUAUAUACUCAAUUCUGAGGAGGGAAGAGGAAGGUCAUGGCUAAAAGGUAGGCUCUGAAAUCAGACUCCCGGAGCUCAAAUCCCAGCACUCUCUGCUUGCCACUUAGACUUCAGGUAGGGGAGGGGGAUAUAAAUGUUUGAGCCUCAGUCCCCUCCUCUGUAAAAUGGGGGCAGUAAAUGUACUGCACACAGCUGCAAGGUGUGAAUGAGGCGAUGCACGUAAAACACAGUGCCUAUAGUAUCACAUUGGGGUUUUUUGGUGUUUUUUGUUUUUGUUUUUGUUUUUUUGACAGAGGGUCUCACUCUGUCACCCAGGCUGGAGUGCAAUGGAGUGAUCUCAGCUCACUGCAGCCUUGACCUCCUGGGCUCAACCACUUUUCCCACCUCUGCCUUCAAAGUAGCUGGGACUAUAGCCAUGUGCUACCACGCCCAGCUAAUUUUUGCAUUUUUUUGUAGAGAUGGGGUUUCACCAUAUUGCCCAGGCUGGUCUAGAACUCCUGAGCUCGAGUGAUCCACCCGCCUCGACCUCCCAAAGUGCUGGGAUUACAGACGUGUGCCACCAUGCUCAGCCCCACACUCGUCUUUAAGAAAAUUAAAAUAAAAUUGUUUUAAACACAGUGUCUGGCACAGAAUAGAUGCUCAAUAAACACCAGCUGCUACAAUUAGAGGGGAAAUCAUCAUAAUUGUUGGAUUAAAACAUAAUAAAAGACCCCAGUUGCCUUGUUCAAGGCAGUAUUUUCAGAAGCAAAGUUUUAAAAGUUUAAAAAGAGGUCAGUAUUUUAAGUCAUGUCAGCUCCACAGCCACGGAAGUGCUGGAAAGGCACCAAGCCUCCUCUCGGUUUGCAGUGAAACGCUCCUCUUCCGUCUGAGGGCUAUCGUUCCAGCAGAGAUCAACACAAUGGACUCUGGGAUGGACAUUGUUCUCCAACAGGCCUGGCCCUGGCCCAGCUGGGCUCCAGACCCUUGUCCCCAGGUUUUGACCCCACCCAGACCUUUGCCUGGGACGGAAAGCUGCUUCAUUUCAGGAGACACCUGAAGUACC
rnacentral:lncRNA from 1 species